rnacentral:ncRNA from 1 species
ACCAAGGAGUCUAACAUGUGCGCGAGCCGCGGGGCAGUACGAAACCCGUAAGGCGAAAUGAAGGUGAACGCCGGCGCGGUCCGGCGGAGGUUGGAUCCCGUCCCGUCGGGGCGGGCGCACUACCGGCCGAUCUUCUCCGCCCUGUCGGCGAGGUCGAGCGAGAGCGUGCAAGUCGGGACCCGAAAGAUGGUGAACUAUGCCUGAGGAGGUUGAAGCCAGAGGAAACUCUGGUGGAGGACCGUAGCGAUUCUGACGUGCAAAUCGAUCGUCAAAUUUGGGUAUAGGGGCGAAAGACUAAUCGAACCGUCUAGUAGCUGGUUCCCUUCGAAUUUGCC